CAGCCACAUCGAGAACCUGGGCAAGAAACAGCGGUUAAUUUGAAACGGCCCGCAGGGUCCUGCGGGAGGAGGAGGAGGAAGGAGCCGGCAGCCACUGCAAGAGCGGUACGAGACCCGCCCCAGCCCCGGCGCCCUACACAGAGCGGCGAGGCCCACUGCGCACGCGCCGCGGACGGAGGGGCGAAAGGGCUGCGCGCACGCAUGCGCGGGGCGCGGCCUUGGGGGCUCCGCCGGUGGUCCCGGCCAGCGCUGGGAGGCGGGAGGGAUGGCGGUGCGCGCUUGUGUCUCGGUGCGCCCUUUCAGCUCAGGGAAGGCAAGGCAGCAGUUGGCCCCCGGUGUUAAUUGCGUUGCUGGAGGAGAAGCGCCUUCCUCUCCUCUCCCCGGUUCUCUUUUCCGCGGCGGGGAGGGGGGAAGGUCGUGCCCUGAGGCGAGGAGGUGCUGCGGUGUUCCCCCCUCCCCCGUCCCGUUAUCACCGGGCAGGCCGGCUGACUCGCUGCUGUGGCGGGGAGAGGGUGUCUCUGCAUGAAUGAUGCAACUGGAUUUAUCUGCAUGUGAAGCAGUACUAAAAAAAGGCAAAACUGUGUUUAAAAAGCGCAAAUCUUUGAACUUGAAAUUCAGAAAUUUUAUUCAUUUGUGGACAAAGAGUGAUUUAGAGACUGCUUACAUACCCGUCUCUGCUCUGGAUUGUAUUUGCAGUCUACCACCUAUCUGUUUUCUUUGCUCUGAGGCUUGUGUUGAGCGACUACUCAGUUUACCUGUAUGAUGUCUGCUCUUCCAGUUUUGCUUUUGGAGACUAGGUAUUCUCCUGAGGCAGCAGUUUCUCCUUUGAACUCCAGAGAAGUACGAUUUUGAUUCUGAAGUAUUUCAGACUGCUUAGGUACCCAAAACUGCUGGAUAGCUUCAUGGCUGCUUUGCAGGGUGUACGGUGAUGGCAACAAGAGAAUGUGUUUGUUCCACCUGCAAAAUCAUUUUGAUACUUUGGAUUGUGGUACAUCAUAUUGAAGAAUGAGUUGAACAGAUGUACAGGGAGCUACAUGAUGUAGAGAUAACAUUUCUUGCUAUUCUGGAUAGUUAUAGGGAUGAACUGAAUAAGGCAGGAUAAUAGAAGAAUAAUACAAAACACUUUACACUUGGAAAUCGAAGACUAAAUAAUACACCUCUAUUCUAGUCAUGACUGGUAGGAGACAGAAUUACGUCUCAGUAUUUCCAUGAGUUCUGUGUGUUCUGACCCAAGUAUCCACAGCAGGCCCCCCUGCCUGAGUGCAAGGUCUGGCCUUCAUUUCUGGCGAACGAUUCAGUGUAGCACUUCUGUGAAUAAGUAUUCUCACGUGUUUAAUAGAAAAGAUUCACAGAGUAAAAGUCAUACUGUAAACUCUUUAGUAAACAGUGACUUGCAUCAUAACUCUGAGUUUCUUGGUCGCAUGCAAAUUGCUGCUUAAUCAGAGCAAGAAGCUCACAAUAUGGCUCCUGGUUUCAUAAGAAGGGCCUCCCGGUGUUGGAAAUGAAAACCAAAUUGCCUGUAAUCCUCUAAUUUUAGCUGGACAGAGUAAUGACACAGUUGUGUUGCUCUUUUUAUGCCGAGCUAGCUUGCUUUAUGUUGUAGUACCAAACCAACUUGUAAAAUUGCUAGUGUCUUUCUGGAGCUGAACUUUCAGAUUAUGACCUCUGCCUGACUAAAAGACACUGAAUGCAGUUUAAUACUGAGGCAGUCCCCAUCAACAGCAUCUCUCUUGUCUUAUCUCCCACAGGUGUUAUUCCAAAUGAAGUUUCAGGGGCUGGAGGACAAACUGAGGUCAGCUUAGUUUUUCUUAAUAUAAUAGUUGGAGUUCACGUUGCGUUUACUCUAAACUGAACUGCGUAAGUGCAACCCUUAGGUUAACACCCUCUCUCCUUUCAGAGCCACAGGAAAGUCCAGGUGGUUUGAAGCAAAUCACCUGAGGAAAUACUUGUGUGAAGACUUGUCACUAUUUUGUUGAAAAUAGGGGUUUUUUUCAGCAUUUCUUUUUCUUUUGUAAAUAUAACAAGGUAAUACUUCAGUUACAGGCAUCAGAGUUUACUUUGGACAGUUGGAAAACUGGUAUUUUGCCAUUUAGAAGGUAGUGGUCCAUUUUAAUAGAUGCACUCAUUAGUAAGGAAUGUUUUAUAUUAAAAAUUCAGUACGUAUUAUUUUAUAUUAAUAAUUAAAUAUAACUAUGCUGUGACCUGUA